rnacentral:rRNA from 1 species
GGGGGACGGGCCCGCGGCCCACCAGCGGGGGGGGGGGGGAAGGGCCAACCAAGGCGACGACGGGCAGCCGGCCAGAGAGGGUGACCGGCCACACUGGGACUGAGAUACGGCCCACACCCCGACGGGAGGCAGCAGUGGGGAAUAUUGCACAAUGGGCGCAAGCCUGAUGCAGCGACGCCGCGUGAGGGAAGACGGCCUUCGGGUUGUAAACCUCUUUCACCAGGGACGAAGCGUAAGUGACGGUACCUGGAGAAGAAGCACCGGCCAACUACGUGCCAGCAGCCGCGGUAAUACGUAGGGUGCGAGCGUUGUCCGGAAUUACUGGGCGUAAAGAGCUCGUAGGUGGUUUGUCGCGUUGUUCGUGAAAACUCACAGCUUAACUGUGGGCGUGCGGGCGAUACGGGCAGACUAGAGUACUGCAGGGGAGACUGGAAUUCCUGGUGUAGCGGUGGAAUGCGCAGAUAUCAGGAGGAACACCGGUGGCGAAGGCGGGUCUCUGGGCAGUAACUGACGCUGAGGAGCGAAAGCGUGGGGAGCGAACAAGAUUAGAUACCCUGGUAGUCCACGCCGUAAACGGUGGGUACUAGGUGUGGGUUCCUUCCUUGGGAUCCGUGCCGUAGCUAACGCAUUAAGUACCCCGCCUGGGGAGUACGGCCGCAAGGCUAAAACUCAAAGGAAUUGACGGGGGCCCGCACAAGCGGCGGAGCAUGUGGAUUAAUUCGAUGCAACGCGAAGAACCUUACCUGGGUUUGACAUGCACAGGACGCCGGCAGAGAUGUCGGUUCCCUUGUGGCCUGUGUGCAGGUGGUGCAUGGCUGUCGUCAGCUCGUGUCGUGAGAUGUUGGGUUAAGUCCCGCAACGAGCGCAACCCUUGUCCUAUGUUGCCAGCGGGUUAUGCCGGGGACUCGUAGGAGACUGCCGGGGUCAACUCGGAGGAAGGUGGGGAUGACGUCAAGUCAUCAUGCCCCUUAUGUCCAGGGCUUCACACAUGCUACAAUGGCCGGUACAAAGGGCUGCGAUGCCGUGAGGUGGAGCGAAUCCUUUCAAAGCCGGUCUCAGUUCGGAUCGGGGUCUGCAACUCGACCCCGUGAAGUCGGAGUCGCUAGUAAUCGCAGAUCAGCAACGCUGCGGUGAAUACGUUCCCGGGCCUUGCAAACACCGCCCGUCAAG